UGUAAGCAGAGCUCCAGUGGACUGAUGGGAGUUUCCCAGGUGCUUAGGGAUAUUUGAUCUUUCUUCCCACAGUUCCCCUGAGCAACAGUCAGACGUUUUGAAAUCACUCACAAGGUACUUCUGUUGGGAGUUGUACUGGAGACUCUGGGAUACAUAUCCACAGGGUUGUACGACUGAACUGGUUUAGAUCAGCCCACGUGUGGACAUAGAAUGGAAAUGCGACGCUUCUUAAACUGAGCCAGCCUGGCCAGCCACAUGUUCCUUCUCCUUCUUCAUUCAGUCCAGGUCCCUCAUGCAUUGGGAACCGUAAGCCUCUACUUUGCUGUAACUGAUGAGUGGAAGUGACAGUUCCAUCAGGUGGCUAGGAGCUUCGCUGACUGCAAGGCCUGAAGGGCUGAGGACUCCUUGCUCAGAUUUUACGCAUUAGCAGCGUAACAAGUCGUACAGACAGACACUGAUGAAUUGGACCUGUGCUCACAUUGGAUUAAAUCCUAGC
rnacentral:lncRNA from 1 species